rnacentral:rRNA from 1 species
GACAGAGGCCUCGAGCGUUAGGCGGAAUCACUGGGCUUAAAGGGCGCGUAGGCGGGCAUUCAAGUCGGUGGUGAAAUCCUCCAGCUUAACUGGAGAAGAGCUGUCGAUACUGGAUGUCUCGAGGGGUGCAGGGGUCUGCGGAACUUCGGGUGGAGCGGUGAAAUGCGUAGAGAUCCGAAGGAACGCCGGUGGCGAAAGCGGCGGACUGGGCAUCUUCUGACGCUGAGGCGCGAAAGCCAGGGGAGCAAACGGG